UGGUGGGGAACUGGGGCAUUCUGGGUCGAGGUAGGUCGGAGGUACUUCUGGGGUAUCGGUGGAGUGCUAUAAUCCUAGGGGGAGCACCAGUGGCGAAAGCGUCCGACCAGAGGGGCCUGACGGUGAGGGACGAAAGCCAGGGGCGCGAACGGGAUUAGAUACGCCGGUAGUGCUGGUCGUAAACGCUGUGGGCUAGGUGGUGCAUGCUCUACGAGGGCAUGCAUUGCCGAAGAGAAGUUGAUAAGCCUACCGCCUGGGAAGUACUAUCGCAAGAUAGAAACUUAAAGGAAUUGGCGGGGGAGCACCACAAGGGGUGAAGUCUGCGGUUCAAUUGGAUUCAACGCCGGACAUCUCACUGGAAGCGAC
rnacentral:rRNA from 1 species